rnacentral:rRNA from 1 species
GAUGAACGCUAGCUACAGGCUUAACACAUGCAAGUCGAGGGGCAGCGAGGGCGUAGCAAUACGCCUGUCGGCGACCGGCGCACUGGUGAGUAACACGUAUGCGACCUGCCCCCUACAGGGGUAUAACCCGUAGAAAUGCGGACUAAUCCCCCAUAGUCCUGUAGGCUGCAUGGCCUGCGGGGGGAAAGGGUUUCCGGUAGGGGAUGGGCAUGCGGCGCAUUAGCUAGUUGGCGGGGCAACGGCCCACCAAGGCGACGAUGCGUAGGGGUUCGUGAGAGGAAGGUCCCCCACACUGGUACUGAGACACGGACCAGACUCCUACGGGAGGCAGCAGUGAGGAAUAUUGGUCAAUGGGCGCAGGCCUGAACCAGCCAAGUCGCGUGAGGGAGGACGGUCCUACGGAUUGUAAACCUCUUUUGUCGGGGAGUAACGUGCGGGACGCGUCCCGUAUUGAGAGUACCCGAAGAAAAGCAUCGGCUAACUCCGUG